rnacentral:lncRNA from 1 species
AGGAAUUAUAAAAAUCGUAAUUGUCCAAAGUCUUCAUCGUUAAAUUCCAAUAGAUCAAAUAGUUUUUUGGCAUCAUUUUUAAUUCUCCACCAGAACUUUCCUACAAAAUAAAAUUAGUACUUAGAUAGAAAUCCAUAGUAUGAAAGUGCAAACUCAGAGCAGUGUGGUAGAGUUGGCCCCUUGGGGACUCAGGACAAUACUAUCACAUAUAAGUUAGAGACAUACAUAUACAUGAUUUAAACAAAUGACAAAAGUAGAGGAAAAUCUAUAUAUGUUGUAGUGCUGGGAUGAAAAUGUAAUCGAAUGAUUCGAGUAACAGAACUUAUGGACAAAAAUCAUGCUUUAUUGGCCUUCCUCAUUUGUUUUUUAGCAUCCGGGCAUCUAGUUAUAUUCUCUCUAUAGUAUGAUUAUGUUGCUUCUUUUUGUUUAAUUUCUGUAUACUGAUGGAAAAACUAGAUUAGUGGAUUUCUUUUUCAAAAGGAACAUUAACUUUAGCAUAUAGCAUAUACUCAAUCAGCUCACUUUCAAUUAAUCUAUAAAUAACUAAAUACAAAUACCUUACCCAAAUCAAGGAUGUUGUUAGCUAGAAUUUGGUAUGUCCAGUAUGUUAUCCGAUUAAUAAUUUUUGAGAUAGAAAUGUAAUCUACUAGUGACUACCUCUUACAGGUGACUAUAAUCACUUAGCUAUCAUUGAUAUCUUAGAAUCUUGCAAUAAAUUAAAAGCGUAGGCACAAUUUCUAUUCCAUUAACCCUCCAAUCUGUAUAGAGAGAUACUAAAAAACUUUCAUCAGAUAAUUUGCUAACUCAAUUUUACCCUCAAGGAAUAUUGGUCUCAAUAUUUUAAAUUCCUAUCAGAACAAAGAUAAUCAUGUAGAUCUCUAUUCACUUAAAAGUUGAGCUAAACAAAGGGAAGCGAGGGCAUUUAAAAUGUUUUGUGUGAUUGAAAGUGAGUGAAAAAGAUAUAUAUGUUGGGAAGUGAAUACCUUUAUUCGCUUGGCAUCGUCUUUAAAUUCAUAAUUGUUGGGGUUACUAGAAAAUAACUUAUAUCAAGAUAUCUAAAAUUAAUUCUCAAACAACAAGAUUUGUAUUUGUGUACUUUCCACUCUAGCAAACAGAAAAUAAGAUAGUAAAUCAAAGAAGACAAAUCCAAAUUUACCUCUUCAGUUGAACUCAAAGAACGAUCUUAAGCUGAGAUAAUACACAAUAGAGACCAAAUCAAUAGUAGAAAUAUGCAAGAUUCAUAUGUUAAGAGAUAAAGAAUGAAGGAGAAAGACGACAAAUUGAUUAUUAUGCUCAACAAUCGAUAUACUGCAGAACAUUUUAUUUCCAAAGAUGGCACGUUCAAAGUUUGAUUACCUGGUCGAUGUAUAUUUUCUAUCAACUAAUCAUCCUACAACAGUUUUAAGGAGAGCAGGAAGUUAAUAGCUAAAAAGUCAGUUUACCCAGCUUUACCUACCAAACAUGCCAGUGCAUAAUGCCUUAACAUACCUCUAAAGUACCUCUAUCCUUUUUCUUUGCCUUCCUCGUUUUUGCUCUACGUUGAUCUUAUUUGAGAACAUGAAGAAUCCUCCGUUCACUGCAGUGUCCACAUGUAUAACCUAUACUAAAGCAAGCAAGAACUGAAUUGAUGCAAAAUACAAUACAGUCACAAGUAGGAUAAUAUAUUUAAACUUUGAUAUUUCAACCACAAAGUUAAAGUCUUAAUAACAUUAGAACUAAAUAUUGCGCUAGCAUAAAAAAAUAAAUAGUAUGUGUCAAUUGAUAUGCCAAAUUGAUCUACCUAACUCAAAUAUUGCCAUGUUUAUUCAAUAUCAAACUAGAGCCUCAGUCUUAGCUUCAGAAGCUAUACAAUUAAUAAUGAGAGAGAGAGAGAACAAGAAUUAACUACUAGACAAUAGAAUGUCAGAAUAAGAAUUUGUGCCCAGAUUGUAUAAUCGUAAAAAGUUAUUCUCCUACGAAAAUACAAGUGAAGGUCAUCCCUCCCCCUUAUGGGCUAGAGAAUUUCAUAUAACUAAAUACCAUUUACAAUAGAGAAAACCAAAUCUCAUUGUAAUUGAAGUAUAUCUUCAUCACUAUCUCAUAUUUUUAUCACUAAUUCAUAAAGCUUCAUGAAAAAGUACCAUAUCUUCUUGCACAUCUUUUAAUUAUCAAACCAUAUAAAUAACAAAAUAUUUUAGUUUCAACUACCAAGCCUCAAUGUAUGCAAUUAAGCCAUAAGCAUUUAUACGUUUAUGCUACAAAAACUUUAUGUCAAACUUAAGUAGAAAACUUAGGCGGACAUUUUGAACUCCACAAUUGGGAAGGAACACUAUAAUGCUUCAAAUGCAAAAUAAAAACAUACAAAGCACUGAAGAAAGUAAUUU